AUUUGCAUGCCCAUGUGGCUCUCUCCCAAGGCUCCCAUGAAGGGCCCAAGACUGGGAGUGGAUGGCCUGCUGAAGGCCGGCCAUGUUGUCUGGCAGGGAGGGGACUAUGAGCAAGCACAGUGUGUUUGAAAAUAAUUCUGACAAGAAAUCCAGGAAGAGUAGUGGACCAAGAAUCACCUGGACACUUUUCAGUCUUCAUUCUUUGGUUCUUGCUCUAAGUAUAUAUAGAAGUUUGAAUUACCGGCUCAGGUUCUGAAGAUUGUUCCGGAACCUCUGGAGAUGAAAGAUUCCGCCAAUGAAUCUGAGCAGGAGUCUCAAGAAUCAGAAUUUCCGAUUGAG